rfam:Virgibacillus pantothenticus strain DSM 26 super7, whole genome shotgun sequence.
UCUGGGCUGAUCCAGAAUCUGAAGGAAGUCGGCGGCAAAUCUCCACCUUUUAGGAACACGAACUUCAUAUGAGGCUAGGUCGGGGGAGUCACCUCCUCCUACUCGAUUAAACGUAAAUAGAUGCAAAAUAUUUUCUCUGAUCAUUUAUACCGUAUAUAAGGUGCUGUAAGAGACCCAC